GGAAAAACUACUUUAUUGCAGCUGAUUGCAGGGUUAAGCAAACCAACAUCAGGUUCAAUAUAUGUGCAAAGAUAUGGUGAUGAUGAUCAACAGAUUAAGUCUCCUGAACCCUUACAACCUGAAAGAGUUGGCAUUGUUUUCCAAUUUCCUGAGAGAUACUUUGUUGCGGACACUGUUCUUGAUGAAGUUACAUUUGGGUGGCCAAGACAAAAGGGUGGCCUACAAUUAAGAGAGCUUCUUGCUUCUAGACUUCAAAAGGCCAUUAUGUCGGUUGGUCUAACAGGAAUAUCUUUGGAUAAGGAUCCCCAUUCAUUAAGCGGUGGUUACAAACGUCGGCUAGCCCUUGCUAUUCAGUUAGUUCAAACACCAGAUUUAUUAAUAUUGGAUGAGCCUCUUGCUGGUCUUGAU
rnacentral:misc_RNA from 1 species